AGAGUUUGAUCAUGGCUCAGAACGAACGCUGGCGGCAGGCUUAACACAUGCAAGUCGAACGCACCUUUACGGGUGAGUGGCAGACGGGUGAGUAACGCGUGGGAACGUGCCCUUCAGUUCGGAAUAACCCAGGGAAACUUGGGCUAAUACCGGAUACGUGCGAGAGCAGAAAGAUUUAUCGCUGAAGGAUCGGCCCGCGUCUGAUUAGCUAGUUGGUGAGGUAAUGGCUCACCAAGGCGACGAUCAGUAGCUGGUCUGAGAGGAUGAUCAGCCACAUUGGGACUGAGACACGGCCCAAACUCCUACGGGAGGCAGCAGUGGGGAAUAUUGGACAAUGGGCGCAAGCCUGAUCCAGCCAUGCCGCGUGAGUGAUGAAGGCCUUAGGGUUGUAAAGCUCUUUCGUCCGGGACGAUAAUGACGGUACCGGAAGAAGAAGCCCCGGCUAACUUCGUGCCAGCAGCCGCGGUAAUACGAAGGGGGCUAGCGUUGUUCGGAAUCACUGGGCGUAAAGGGCGCGUAGGCGGCUUGAUAAGUCGGGGGUGAAAGCCUGUGGCUCAACCACAGAAUUGCCUUCGAUACUGUCUGGCUUGAGACCGGAAGAGGUAAGUGGAACUGCGAGUGUAGAGGUGAAACUCGUAGAUAUUCGCAAGAACACCAGUGGCGAAGGCGGCUUACUGGUCCGGUUCUGACGCUGAGGCGCGAAAGCGUGGGGAGCAAACAGGAUUAGAUACCCUCGUAGUCC
rnacentral:rRNA from 1 species